rnacentral:rRNA from 1 species
GACAGAGGGUGCAAACGUUGCUCGGAUUUACUGGGCGUAAAGCGCAUGUAGGCGGAGAGAUGUGUCGGGUGUGAAAUCCCUGGGCUCAACCUAGGAACUGCAUCCGAAACUGUCUUUCUAGAGUAGUGGAGAGGAAAGCGGAAUUCCGGGUGUAGAGGUGAAAUUCGUAGAUAUCCGGAGGAACACCAGUGGCGAAGGCGGCUUUCUGGACACUAACUGACGCUGAGAUGCGAAAGCGUGGGGAGCAAACAGG